UACGGAAGGUGCAAGCGUUAAUCGGAAUUACUGGGCGUAAAGGGUCUGUAGGUGGCUUGCUAAGUCAGACGUGAAAUCCCUCAGCUUAACUGGGGAACUGCGUCUGAUACUGGCAAGCUUGAGUGCAGGAGAGGAACGCGGAAUUCCAGGUGUAGCGGUGAAAUGCGUAGAUAUCUGGAGGAACACCGGUGGCGAAGGCGGCGUUCUGGACUGCAACUGACACUGAGAGACGAAAGCCAGGGGAGCAAACGGG
rnacentral:rRNA from 1 species